UGGUGGAGUGAUUUGUCUGGUUAAUUCCGUUAACGAACGAGACCUUAACCUGCUAAAUAUGCCGCGCUAACCCGUCCAUCAAAACCCAUGCGUGGCCCACGAGGUCCGCUGCGUGACGUGUUUGCCUUUCAUCGGGUGAGUGCGUUGCGCCGGCAGGGCCCGGGUCCGUGUGGGCGGCAGGGUUCGGCGUCUGUGCUUCUUAGAGGGACUGCUGGCGCCUAGUCAGCGGAAGUUUGAGG
rnacentral:rRNA from 1 species